CUAGCCCCUGCCUCUUCCUGUACAUAAUCUCUGACGGGAUUAAUGAUUAUGCUUCUAUAACUUUUUUUUUUUUUUUAGAGACAGGGUCUCGCUUGGUUGCCCAGGCUGGAGUGCAGGGGCUCGAUCAUAGGUCACUGCUGCCUUGAACUCCCGGGUUCAGGCACUCCUCCCACCUCAGCCUCCUGAGUAGCUGAGACUACAGGCGCAUGCCACCACACCCAGUUAAUUUUUUAUUUUUAUUUUUUGCAGAGACAAGGUGUUGCUGUGAUGCCCAGGCUGGUCUUGAACUCCUGGGCUCAAGCGAUCCUCCUGCCUGGGCCUCCGAAAGUGCUGAAAUUAUAGGUGUUAAGUCACCAUGCCCAGCCAAGCCUCUGUAAUCUGUAACUAGAUAAUACCCUCACACACAGCCUUGAUGAAAUUUUGCUCUAUUGUUAACUUCUGAGCACAUUAGAUAUAACUUUUUUUUUUUUUUUUUGAGACAGAGUCUCACUCUGUCCCCCAGGCUAGAGCUCAGUGAUGCAAUCUCGGCUGACUGCAGCCUCUGCCUCCCAGGUUCAAGUGAUCCUCCUGCUUCAGUCUCCUGAGUAGCUGGGAAUACAGGUGCACGCCACCACGCCUGGCUAAUUAUUGUAUUUUUAGUAGAGAUGGAGUUUCACCAUGUUGGCCAGGCUUGUCUCGAACUCCUGACAUCAGGUGAUCCACCCGCCUCAGCCUCCCAAAGUGCUGGGAUUAUAGGCAUGAGCCACCACGCCCAGCUUGAUAUAACUUCUGAGCACAUGCAGGGCACCACCAACUGUAUAUAAAUGUUUUUAUAUAAACUGUAUAUAAAUAUAAAUAUAUAAAUGUGUGCUGAAACUCUGUUUUGGAGCAGUUUAACAAACUCUGUGAAAGACUUUCCCUGGUUACAGUCCUCAGUAAGAUUGCAAAAAACCAACCUUAAUUUUUUAAAAGCCUGAUUUUUUGUUUAGUUGACAUUGAGAAACAGAAAAGGCCCGGCAUGGUGGCUCACACGUGUAAUCCCAACGUUUUGGGAGGCCGAGAUGGGCAGAUCACUUGAAGUCAGGAGUUUGAGACCAGCAUGGCCAACAUGGUGAAACCCCAUCUCUAUUAAAAAUACAAAAAUUAGCCAGGUGUGGUGGUGUGUGCCUGUAAUCCCAGCUAUUCAGGAGGCUGAGACAGGAGAAUAGCUUGAAACUGGGAGAUGGAGGUUGCUGUGAGCCAAGAUCGUGCCACUGCACUCCAGCCUGGGUGACAGAGCAAGACUCUGUGUCUAAAAAAAAGAAAAAGAAAAAGAAAAAAAAAUUAGAGAGAGAAAGAGAAAGAGAAAAGCUGUUGCUCACAUACAUUUGGUGUUACAGACCAUAGGCUGUUUGGCUCCCCUUGUAAUGAAACUUAACAGGGAUCCAAGCAGAUUUCCCAGACAAGGCAUUUAUUUCAGAGCUUGUGCUUGAGUGCAGGGAAGACAAUGGAAGCAGAAGUGAAGGGAUCCUCCAGCUGACUUGUGGAAGAGCCAGUGGGGAAUUUUUUUUUUUUUUGUGAGACAGAGUGUUGCUCUGUCGCCAGGCUGGAGUGCAGUGGUGCGAACUCAGCUCACUGCACCUCCGUUUCCCAGGUUGCAGUGAGCUAAGAUUACGCCUUUGCACUCCAGCCUGGGCGACAGAGCAAGACUCUGUCUCAAAAUAAAUAAAUAAAUAAAAAUAAAAAUAAAAGAAACAUUUGCUGGAGGGACAUGGGCUCCUAGGGACAGGGUCGCCCUCCCACUGAGUCCCCAAGAGGAUGAACAGGUGGACAAGUGGAUGGUACCUGGAGGGUGAAGUGUUUGUUCUCCAAAGGUCAUUCCUGGCUGCCCAAUAGUGGGUGGUUUUCUAGGAGCUCAGGGUGGAAUUAAGGGUCCUUAGUGGCCCAGGUCUGUCACUGGAACCUGGGGAGGGCUUGGCCUGGCUGGGGCCAUGCACACAAACUCACCCAGGAUCACACACAUUAGCAACCAGUACCUCACUUUUCUCCAAACACUCCACAGAACGAAGGUUUUUGUCUACAAAACAAAGCAUCUUUUCCUCCUUGGAGAACUCCCAUACAGGCUUCUCAACUUGGCCAAAAUGCUACCUCCUCCAAGAAGCCUUCUCAGAUUGCCUCUCCCACCCCUCACUUCCAGGAAGUGAAUUGCUCCCUUCUUGGUGCUCUCCCAGCUCUGAAUCCCAAUAACUGGUGAAGUAGUUACCACUAUGUCCUCACCAUCUGUGUCCCCAUGGGCUUGGCAGUGUGGUGGGCUGGGCCAGAAUCCCAGCAUCUAACCCUGGCAUGGUGUAGAGUGGGUACUUCCAGGAUGCUUGGAGAAUAAAGGAAUGAAAACAUAUAUGAAGACUGAAUAGACGUGUCAGUGAGAUGAGCAAGUGAUGGAUGAAUGAAUGAAUAAGGACAUUAAGAGAAAGAAUGAAGACUCAAUCAAUAAAAGGACACUUAAUAAAUGAACAUGUGAGGCCACGGACUAUCAGAAAGCCACAGAGCCAGGAGUGCGGGGCAGUGUCUGUCCGGUUGGUAAAGGUCUCCCUGGCACCCCCAGCCUCAGUGUCUGUCACAGAGCUGGUGCUUGGCAGAUAUCUGCUGGAUGAAAGUUAAGCGAAUGAAUGGAGUGAAGGAAUGCAUGAAGGCAAGAGAGAGUUAAGGCAUGUGGGUGUGAAGGAGCUGGUAAUAACUUCAGUGUCUAAGUCUGGUCUAAAUUGUGGACAUAUUUAUCAGCAGAUAUAUGUUUUUCAAUAGACGGGGUCUCACUCUGUCACCAGGCUGGAGUGCGGUGGUGCCAGUAUAGCUAACUGCAGCCUCGAACUCCUGGGCUCAAGGGAUCCUCCUGACUCAGUGUCCAGAAAAGCUAGGGCUACAGGCAGGUACCACUAUGCCCAGCUAAUUUUUCACAUUUUUUGUAGACAUGGGGUAUUGCUAUGUUUCCCAGGCUGACCUCAAGCAAUUCUUCAGCCUUGGACUCCUGAGUAGCUAUGACAACAGGCUGGUGCCACCACACUCAGCUAACUUUUUAUUUUUAUUUUUUGAGAGGGAGUUUCUCUCUUGUCACCCAGGCUGGAGUGCAAUGGCGCGAUCUCGGCUCACUGCAACCUCUGCCUCCCAGGUUCCAGCGAUUCUCCUGCCUCAGCCUCCUGAGUAGCUGGGAUUACAGGCACCCGCCACCAUGCCCGGCUAAUUUUUGUAUUUUUAGUAGAGACAGGGUUUCGUCAUGUUGGCCAGGCUGGCCCCGAACUCCUGAUCUCAGGUGAUCCACCCGCCUCAGCUUCCCAAAGUGCUGGGAUUACAGGCGUGAGCCACCUUGCCCAGCCUAAUAUUUUAUUUAUUUAUUUAUUUAUUUAUUUAUUUAUUUAUUUAUUUGGUAGAGCUGGAGUCUUGCUAUGUUGCCCAGGCUAUCAUCCUGAUUCUACUGAAAUGGAACUGAGGCCCAGAGGAGAAAGCAAUUGGCUCAGGGCCACACAGACUCAAACCCAGCAGUCUAGCCCUGGGUCUGUGACAGCCUGAGUGAUUAUGUGACUCACACAGAUGGGACAGGGCCCCAGCAGACCCUGGCGGGAACCCUGGUGGCACCCUCCUAGGUGGCACCUUCCUGGUGGCACCUUCCUGGGGCUGAGGUCAGAUUUGAGGUCCGGCUCCCUGGGAUGAAAGGCCGCCUCACAGAUGCCCACAAGUCUCACACCCAGGGUGAUGUCCCUUCUGCCACCAGAGGGCAGCAAAUCCCCACCCAGGUCCCGCCACUAGGAGCCUUAAUCCACCUUUCCUGAGAUCCAGAACUGGGCACCCAGGGAGCAAGGUCUACUGGCUGGAAGAUACCAGUGCGUUGCAGACUGGCAGACUGGGUGCCACCUACCCUGGGCUUGCACAAGCAACCUAACCUCUCUAAGGCUGUUUCCUUAUGUGCAAAAUUGGUACAAGCGAAUCUACCUUGUCGCUGGCACAUGGGUAAAAUGACGUUUGGACAUGCAGUGUCCAGCAGAGCCUGACAUUCAAUAACAUGGCUCACGCCUGUAAUACCAGCACUUUGGGAGGCUGAGGCAGGUGGAUGAUCUGAGGUCAGGAGUUCGAGACCAGCCUGGCCAACAUGGUGAAACUCCGUCUCUACUAAAAAUACAAAAAAAAUUAGCCGGGCGUGUGGGGUGGGGGGAGCUGCCUGUAAUCCCACCUACUCGGGAGGCUGAGGCAGGAGAAUUGCUUGAGCCCAGGAGGCGGAGGCUGUACUGAGCCAAAAUCGCACCUCUGCACUCCAGCCUGGGAGACAGAGAGAGACUCUGUCUGAAAAAAAAAAAAAAAAAUAGGUGACCACACUUGUCCUAGUUUGAUCCUAGGACUGAAGGGUUUCCCAGAAAGUGGGACCUUCAGUGCUAAAACCAGGAGAAUCUUGGGCAAGCCAGGAUGGUUGAUUACCCUAGACGAGUGGGUACUCCUAUCUCAAUUCUUUGAGUAGUGGUUGAUACUUUAAGUACUAAAACAGCAGGGUUUUUUUUCUUUUUUCUUUUUUUCUUUUCUUUUCUUUUUUUUUUUGAGACAGAGUUUCACUCUCGUUACCCAGGCUGGUCUCAAACUAGAGAAAUGAAAAUAUAUGUCCACUGACUGACCUGUAUGCAAAUACAAACAGUAGCUUGAUUCAUAAUUGCCAAAAACUGGAAACAACCCAUAUGUCCAUCAAAUUGAGAUCUAGACCUACAGGGAAAUACUACUUAGCAAUAAAAGGAAGGAGCUUUUGCUGAGUGCGGUGGCUCAUGACUGUAAUCCCAGCACUUUAGGAGGCUGAAGAGGGAGGAUCACUUGAGGCCGGGAGUUCAAGACCAGCCUGGCCAACAAGAUGAAAGCCUAUCUCUACUAAAAAUACAAAAAUUAGCUGGGCAUGGUGGUGUGCACCUGUAAUCUCAGGUACUUGGAAGGCUGAGGCAGGAGGAUUGCUUGAACCCAGGAGGCGGAGGUUGCAGUGAGUCGGAUUAAGAAGGUGGAUUAAGAUAUCAUACCACUGCACUCAGCCUGGGCGACAGUGAGACCCCAUCUCAAAAAAAAAGGGGACCAGGUGUGGUGGCUCAUGCCUGUAAUCCCAGCACUUUUGGAGGCCGAGGCGGGCAGAUCACGAGGUCAGGAGAUCAAGACCAUCCUGGCUAACAGGGUGAAACCC
rnacentral:lncRNA from 1 species